GCAUUCAAUAAGACUCUAUGCAACUUGUUCAAGAAAGUCGUCUCCAAAUCCAAACGAGAUUAGAAUGACCGUGUGAAAAAAGCUCUAUGGGCAUAUAGGACGACUCAUCGCACACCAACGCAGGCGACUCCUUAUUCACUUGUUUAUGGAUUCGAAGCCGUCUUGCCACUUGAGGGUCAAAUACCUUCGUUACAAAUUGGUUGUUCAAGAAGGGAUCACUGAUGAAGAAAAUGCUCGACUUCGACUAGCAGAGUUGGAAGCUCUUGAUGAAAAGAAAUUGGAAGCUCAAUUGUCUUGCGCCUUCAAUAAAAGAGUUCAUCCGAGAUCCUUUCAAGUAGGAUAUCAAGUCCUUGCCAUACGAAGACCCAUAAUUACAUCCCAUAAACCUGUAGGAAAAUUCACUUCAAAAUGGGAUAGGCCAUAUGACGUACAAAAAGCUUAUUCAAGUAGGGCCUAUAGGCUGGUUGAUGCAGAUGGUACGAGAAUCGGCCCUAUCAAUGGAAAGUUUUUGAAGAAGUAUUAUCCAUGAAGUUGCAAGUCAUAAUGCUCCUCAACGUACGAGCCUAAGCUCCAAUUCACGAUGCUCCUUGACGUAUGAGCCUAAACUGCAAGUCAUGACGCUCCUUGACGCACGAGCCUAAACUGCAUGUUGCUACACUCCUGGCCCGCAUGAGUCUAAACUGUAUACGGCCCUCGCCCUAAAAAAAUAAACAUAAAAAUAAAAAUAAAUUUAAAAAAAAGUCCGCUAGGUUGAAAAUAUCGAAAGAGGCGGCCUAGGCAAAAGUUAGAAUGUAAAAAAGAAUACCCAGUCUGAACUGCGAUAUGGCUUGAUCCUCUUCACAGAGGUACGUAGGCAUCUUAGAAUUUCAUUCUAAGUUCAGUCGCAUAAGUUAAAAGGAUACAUAUUGCCCCAAUUAUUGUCUGAGUGAAGUAUGAGGAAUGUAAAAUCAAGCUGAAGUGCCAUCCUCUUGUGGAACUUUGAUCUCAUUUGAUUUAAAAAGGGGCAACCCUCCAUAGUAAAUUGAUAUCUUCAAGUCCGUCGUUACUUAAGUUCAAGUCCCCAAGUUGAAAUCUUCAACUCUGUCGUUCUUUAAGUUGAAGUCUUCAAAUUUGAAGAUCUUCAAGUUGAAAUAUUUAAGCCCCCAAUUUGAAGUCUUCAAGUUCGUCGGUCUUCAAUUUUCAGUCUUCAAAUUCGCCGAUCUUAAAGUUGAACUGUUUAAGCCCUCUAAAUCUUUGAGUUGAAGUCUGCAAGGUCCAUCAAAUCUUCAAAGUUUUCCAAGUGUUCAAGGCGAUGUCGUCUUCAAGUUAAAGCUUUAUAACUUUCCAAUCUUAAGAUGGACAUAUAAGUCCCUUUUCACCUUAAGUUGGCCUCUUCGUGGAUUUUUCCUUAAAAGGAACUAUAACUUUCCAAUCUUAAGGUGGAAAUAUAGGUCCUUUUUCACCUUAAGUUGGCCUCUUCGUGGGUUUGACCUUAAAAGGAACUAUAACUUUCCAAUUUUAAGGUGGGCAUAUGAGUCCCUUUGCACCUUAAGUUGGCCUUGCCGAUAGUUUGGGCCACAUUUAAAGUAAUUUCUCAGGUAGUGCGGCCAUUU
rnacentral:lncRNA from 1 species